rnacentral:lncRNA from 1 species
AGACCCCCAACGCAGAUUACCCAUGUACCUGAUGACAAUGACCUUGAUGAAGUUGAUGAAGAGGAAAAAAGGUACACUUUUCAUGUAAACUAAGAAAACUAAUACCUUAUAUAAUCUUCCACUUCUGAAAAAAAGUGAUAUAUAGAUGUAGGGCUGGUGCAACUGUUGGGAGAAUUAGGCAUUCACCUAGGGCACCGGCGCCCCACGAGAUAUAUCCUGGUGGGCUGCCCCUGUCUUGGGCCAGAGCACUGGGCGAGCGGCACUUGAGCUCCCUCCCGCUGCCCCAGCACCGGGUUGAUCCUACAGGAGCCCAAAGGUGGGGGCACCGAGAGGAGCCCUGUCACAGGGGAGCCAGGAGGCAGCCAUGUGGCCCCCAAGCAGUGCUUUAAUUGGUAUGGCAGAGCAGGCACCUGCUUACAUUGAUGGCAGGUGCCUGCUCUGCCGACAAAUUCCAGAGGAGAGGAGGGAGCGGGUGAAGCAGGCAAGAGUUGGCAGCUGUGAUGCAGGGAGGCGGAAUAUGAUGAAUUUCCAGUCCCUGCAUUCUAAACAGCGCCCUAGCGGAGUGCGGAGUUACCCCACACGGGACCCCGGGGAUAGGAGAGGACCCAGACCAGCUCUCCCAAAGGUAGGGAGGCUGGGUGGCCCUCAAAAAAAUUAAUUGUGUGAGUGUGUGUCUGUCUUUCAGUGAGUGAAUGUGUGUCUGUCUGUCAGUGAGUGAGUGUAUGUCUGUCAGUGACUUAGUAUGUGUCUGACUGUCAGUGUGUGUCUGUCAGUGAGUGAGUAUGUCUGUCAGUGUGUGUAUGUGUGUCUGUCAGUGACUUAGUAUGUGUCUGUCCGUAUGUGACAGACACACAACUGUAGGUAGGGAGGCUGGGUGGCCCUCAAAAAAAUUAAUUGUGUGAGUGUGUGUCUGUCUGUCAGUGAGUGAGUGUGUCUGUCAGUGAGUGAGUGCGAGUGUAUGUCAGUGAGUGAGUGUAUGUCUGUCAGUGACUUAGUAUGUGUCUGACUGUCAGUGUGUGUCUGUCAGUGAGUGAGUAUUUAUGUGUGUCUGUCAGUGAGAGUAUGUGUGUGUUACAUUGUAUAUGUAUGUCAGUGAGAGUAUGUGUGUCAGUGAGUGUGAAUGACCAUGCAAAUCGAUUAUUAUAUAUUAAAUUAUAUUUAAAAUAUAUAUUAAUACAGUUAUAUUAUAUUUUUAAUAAAGCUUGCUUAAAGUGAACCUGUCAGACAAGUUCACUGUAAGAUAAAUUAAAUCCCACUAUUGUUAUAAAUUAUAUUUUGCAUUAAAUACAUAAUUUAUUACAGCGAUAAAUUAUGUAUUCAAUGUAAAAUGUAUGUAUUAGGCAGUAUGUGUGUAUGGAUGUAUGUAUUAGGCAAUAUGUGUGUAUGUGUAGGUAUUAGGCAGUAUGUGUGUAUGAAUGUAGGUAUUAGGCAGUAUGUGUGUGUUGAUGUAGGUAUUAGGCAGUAUGUGUGUGUGGAUGUAGGUAUUAGGCAGUAUGUGUGUAUGGAUGCAUGUAUUAGGCAGUAUGUGUGUAUGUGUGGGUAUUAGGCAGUAUGUGUGUGUGAAUGUAGAUACCAGGCAAUAUGUGUGGGUAUUAGGCAGUAUGUGUGUGUGGAUGUAGGUAUUAGGCAGUAUGUGUGUGUGGAUGUAGGUAUUAGGCAGUAUGUGUGUGUGGAUGUAGGUAUUAGGCAGUAUGUGUGUAUGAAUGUAGAUAUUAGGCAAUAUGUGUGUAUGAAUGUAGAUAUUAGACAGUAUGUGUGUAUGAAUGCAGAUAUUAGGCAGUAUGUGUGUAUGAAUGCAGAUAUUAGGCAGUAUGUGUGUAUGAAUGUAGAUAUUAGGCAGUAUGUUGUUUAUGGAUGUAGGUGUUAGGCAGUAUGUUAUUUAUGGAAACCAUAUGGCAAAAUGUAGGCCAAAAUAGCUGGUCUAUAAGAAUUCUCCAAUUAGGCUACAGUUGCAAUUCAGCAGUUUUUGCUUAAACUUUGCAAGUUGUUUUUCAACUCCCUGCAAUUCAGAGUUUAGUGAAUAAACCUCUGUGAGAUUGUAUUUGCUUUCAUGAGGGACAGCAAAAUGGAUCUUUGCCUAAGGCGGCAUAAAUCCUUGCACUGGCCCUGAAAAAAAAAUAAAAUAAUAUAUAUAUAUAUAUCUCUGCUAAUGUUACCUUUUCAUUUCUUUAACCACUUCAUGACAUGUCCUUCUAAGAUUAUCAUUGGAGAGGAAAAUUCAAAUGUUGUGCCUGUUCAGUUGUCAUGAUGGGAUGGGAAGAUUCCAGCUUUUUUAUUGUAUAACAUAAGAAUCUAAAUUGAAAAAUUCAAAAUGGUUUUGAAUUUUUCAAGAUGAUCUGUUUUAGCCUCAGUUUUGCAAUAUUUAUUUAAAUUCAAUACAAAUCAGAUAAACGUAAUUAACCUUAAAUGCGUUCUUUUUUUUAUUUGUACAGAUAGCAAGGGGGCGAAAUGAUAAGGGGCACUGUGAUAUUAUUCCAUAUUAAUUUAGAAUGAUUGAUCAUUACUGAGCACAUUAAACUCUUAUAGAUAGUUAAGAUGGCGCUGGUAAGCAUAUAAGUACACACAGGCAGUAUCACUAGAUGCAGGCCUGUAUACCACAGCUACUAAUACACAGCACUGAAAAUGUUAAUAACCACAAAACACAGCACCAGAAUGACUCAUGCAUACCAUCACGAGAUAAUUAUUGUUACAUCGCUAGCUUUUAGAUCAGAAAUAAUUAACUGCACAGACCUGGCAUGGUAUUGUUGGUGGGCCUGAACAGCCGGGCCAGCUGCCGGUCCCAUCCAACGCUUUUGCAAGGUCUUUGCUGGGCUGCACUGAUAAGGAGACUUGAUGGAAAAGUACAGACUAUCUAUCCCAUUGGUAAGUCUCUGUUAAAAAAUGUAUAAAAGAUGAGAAAAUUUGGCUUUGAGUACUACCCACCUGUAAUACGGACGUGUAUUGCUGGUUCUGCUGAUAACCAGAAAGAUAGGGUCCCCUUCAAGCCUGACUGCCAGAAGUUCUCUCAGUCGAGUGCAGCAAACUUCUCUUAUGGCGAUGUAUACUUAAGCUAAUAUCUAGAUGAUUAAGCUGUUUCCUUAAGCUGAAUGAUUACUUCAGUGUCUUUCCCUUUCUCAAAUACUCAGUUCACUCAUCCCGAAUAGCGUUUUGGUGCCCACCAAUAUCUUUAAAAACCUUAGGGUAAUUGAUUAUUGCUUUUUGAUAUUGGCGCUUCAUGAAUAGUGUAGUGUUAGUAAUACAGAUAUGUAUUUCUAAUGCUACAAUGUUUCUUUAUGGCACUGGCUUUAAUGUAAUUCGCUUCUGAAACCCUUCUGAAAGUGUUACAGUGUUUACUGUAAAUUGCUGAAGGGACUUAUUAUACUCACCAGAACCAAUGCAAUCAGUUGUAGAUGUUAUGGUUACUAAGUGUCCCUUUAAAAUAAAGUCUAAAAUCAAUCAAUAUAAAAGCUUCCUUAUCCAAGACGCAUUUCACCAGUAAGCUUCUUCAUGUGGAUCUGCAGUUCUUGCUUUUAAAACCCUCUUCAUUAUAUGCAAGCGUGUCCUUCAUCUAAUUAUCCAAUCCCCCAAGAGGAAGGGCAAAGUGUUGGCACUCGCCGUGUUAGUCCAUGCGAACCCGAAGUAACAUAUCAGGAAUCAUCUUAAGUUCACUUCUGGUUAAUUUUGGGGAAACCCGGGUCAUGUGAGGAAGAGAGGCGUUGCGAUCAUGAGAACUUGUUUUCUCUGAAUUUAACCCAAAGGGACCUUACGGCGAUUCCCAAUACAUCUCUUACUGUUCGCAUGGACUAACGCAACGAGUUCCAGGAGUUUGUACUUGCUCAGCCAGAAAAAAAAGUUAAAUUUUCUCAGAACAAUCAGCAUACAUUGUUAAAAAAUAUAUCAUUAAAGGGACACUCAACUGGUCCAAAUAAAUUUUUUUUUUUUUAAAUCACUGCUUAGUAGAUAUACCCCUAAUGAAAACAUGUAUGCAUUUAAUUAUGCUUUUUUAAAUUGAGGUUUAUCUAAAAAAAGCUUGCAAAAGCUGCAGAUCUCUUGUCUGCAGUCUUUGCAAGCUGUCUCCUUUUUCCCCGGUCCAGACUUGUUGUGGCUGUCCAAUCACAGACUUCAUGAGACGUCUUUGCACGGAAGAUAAUAUGGGCAAUUAUCUGCCUCUUGAAUUUAUCUUCACUGUUAAACAACAAACAAAGCAACAGGGCCAGUUGAUUGACAGUUAGAAGGGUUUAACAAGGUUAAUUUGUAAAAGUGCCAAUUUCUAUUGAAACCUGUAUUUUUAGUAAAAGGAAAAAAGAGGACACACUCUUUACACAUAAAGUAUUUCAGCAAGCUAAAGUGCUCUAGGGGUCUGGAGUGUCCCUUUAAGUUUAGUUCAAUGCAAUAGCCUUUUAAAACACGAGAAAUGACAUUCUGAUGACAGUUGUUCUUUAAUUACAUACAGUUGUUAUACCAUUAUAAUAGACGUGCAAUUAAUGUGGGUACACUAGGAUGGAAUGUCCCUAUAGUGUAACGUUUACAAUCAUAAAAGGUUGACAAUAAAAAUAUGUUUGAAUUCAAUUUUAAUUGUCACGUUUCUAGCAAUACGUACUAUUACUAAUUCUGUCGCUAUUUCUUUUUUCACAUAUGCAAACAAAGGAUUGUUGGUAAGGAAAGCAAAAGCAAAGAUGGUAUUUUUGUAAGAGCCUGAACACUUCCAAAAUCCUGUGUAUAUCCUUCCAUAUGGAUCAGAGGGAGAGUACAUGACCAUUCGAUUCAACGCACACUACACAAAUACAUCCCCACAUUUACAUACACCCAGAGGCUUAACUAGGCCACGGGGCCCAAGUGCAAAAAUUGCCUUGAGGCCCCGCCAUACGUCUACCCCCCGCCACCUCCGCAUACGUCUACCUUAUCCCUCCCAUACGUUGCCCCAACACACAUGCAGACACACACAUAGCCACACACACACAUACAUACAUGCACACACGUAUAUAUACAGACAGACACAUACAUACAGACACAUACAAACACACACACACGUACAUACAAACACACAUACAUACAGAGUUCGAGCAGCAUUCCUGCACUUUUUCUUAGUAGUCCUGCAGGAGGUGGGGCUGCCGAUGGUCUGUCACAGGGAGCCCAGCAGGUUGCCAUCUGGCCACCUAAGUGCUCCCCAGAACGGCACUUAUUUAGCAAUGUAGAGUAGGCACCUUCUUGUCCCAGAGGCAGGUGCCUACUCUGCAGCAAUAUACUGGACUGGGCUGGGGUGAGGACAGAGUUAGGCGGCGGCGAGGGAGCGCUGUCUGAGCUGAUGAUCUUCCUGCUCCCUCGUUCUCCCUCUAUGGUGAUGCUGGGAGCCGGAAUAUGACGUAAUUCUGGCCCUGCAUCACUAAACAGUGUGAGGUAGGAGAGAGAUUUGUCGACACUGGACCCCAGGGAGAGGACUCAGAGGUCUCCUAAAGGUAGGAGAAACAAGCAAUACAAUGAAUUUGUGAGUGUGUGCAAGACUGUGUAAGUGUGUAUAUGUGUGUCAAUAAGGGUGUCUAUCAAUAAGUGUGUGUGUCUGUCAGUGUGACUUCCAGUGUGUGGGUCUGUCUGUUAGUAAGUGUGUGUGUCUGUAAGUAUGUGUGUUUCAGUGUUUGUGUGUGUGUGUCAGUAAGUGUGUGUCUGUCAGUAAGUGUGUGUGUGAUUGUAUGUGUCUAAACUUGAAGCACAGUAUGUGGGAGUGGGCACCUCUAAAGGGACAGAGUAGAUACUGACAAGUAAUAUUAAAGUGCCCUUAUGAAUAAAAGUGAAAUAAGCUGUCCUUUGGGACUUGUAGUAGUUAAAAUGUAACUUUUAUUAAAUAUAUGCAUGAUAAAAAUAGAAUACUUAAAACAAAAAGAAAAAAGGGAAAAUACAUGUAUACACAAAUGAUAAAUAAAAUCAGGUAGGGACCCAAUUCUUGCACGGUGAAAACCUGGCAGUCUGGGAGCAAUCUACUAAACAGUGCUUUCUGGCAGUAAGCCAAACAACAAAUUGCUCUGUCUAAACUGGGUUAAAUUUGUCAGGCUUACCUGAGUUUUAACCCCAAAUCAUUCUGACUCCACAAAGAGGACCAUCUACACUGACGGCAUUAAUAAAUGAGCACGGAUAACUUGGACGUACUCCGGAGAGGCUAUCUCCAUAUACUUGUCUUUGUAAACUGACGUUGGUCUUGGGUGAGUUCUCACACUUUUUUCCCCAGGACUUGACCCAUGCAUACAUACACACACAUACAUACACAUACACCUACAUGCAGACACACAUACAUACAAACAUACACACACAUAUAGAAAAUAUUUUAGUCAUCCUCCUUACCUUUUAGAUGCAGGAGAGUGACUUCCCUGGGGUCCAGUGGUGGCUCAGCCUGAUGGAAAUCAGAGUUCCCACUUUGAUUCCCUACUCUCCUUCCUCCUGCGUGGCUCCUGGUAGUUGCUGGGAGGAAGUGACUGGGGCUGUCACUUCCUCCCAGCCUCUGACCUCAUCAAAGGGGGCCCGGUCCCGCGGUCCCGCUGUCAAAGCGCCGCAGCGCUAACCGCCCCCCCCCUUCCCCCCCCCGGAAAUUCACAGCCAUCGGGUGGCCCUAACAGCAUGAGCCAACUGUUGGGCCCCUUAACGUGCGGCCCAGGCAGUUAUACCGUUCCGCCCGGGGCCACAACGCACCGCCUGGAGUGUUUAAUGAUUGGAUUGAGUAUCAUCCGCAUAGUCUUUCUUCCAUGUAGCCAUGAACGUGGCUAACAUUAACAGUGAGGUUUAUUCUUUAAAUAGGGUUCUCAAGAUGAACAGAAUACAGAAUUUGAGUAUUUUGUAAAAUGUCAAUUGCUGUAGCCUGUGUUUUGAUCAGUGAGUGGAGGCAAUCGAUAAAUAUUUUAGGUAACUACAUUACCUUCUCCCUAAUACUUAAACAGUGCUCUCCCAAUGUUGAGAAGUAUACAUACUCACCUUAAAUUAUGUACUCAUAAAAAGAGGGAUACAAAUAUAGACAAGAGGAACAGAGAACUUGUUUUUUUCCUUUAGUGGAAAAUGUGUAGAGCUAUAAUUUUCAAAACUGUGACUAAAUAUUAUCUAAGUCUCCAAACAUAAACCUCAAUUUAAUAUUUAAGAUUAGCUUUUUAAAAACCAUUUAACAUUUUCAAAAGUAUUUUGUUUGAUAUAUUUAUAUAUACGAUAUAUAUAGAGAGUGAUUUUUUUAAAUUUUAAUAGUUUCAAAAAAUUAUUUGAAAAGUUUUUUGUAACGUCAAGGCAAAGUCAUAAGUUAUCAACACAGCUAAACUUGAAUAUCUUGUAUAUUUGUAUAUAUAGAAGGUAGAUAUACUUACCUGAAAAUUUAUUUUACUGGAAACCACAGUACAGACAUGUCACUUUGUGUGCAAAAAAUACAAAGAACCCACAAGUGACAGUGCUGCUAAAAUAAGAACAAUGUCCAUCUGUGAAAAUAAUUGGAAUCUCUUUGAUUUUCAGAUGAUAAAAACACUCUGAAGAUUCUAAGUUAACUGAAGAUUGAUCCUGGACUGACUAGAACCAAUAUUAAAAUUAUGAAGAACUGAACAUGUGUUAUUUUAUUGGUAUUGUUUGUCAGAUCGUUAUAUGGCAAUUUAAAUUCAAUAAAAAGGUCACAUUGUAUACAUAUUUUUGUUUUAGACACUAAAAAGACGUUCCAAUGCAGCUCAAUGAGAAGUCUUUGGUUCUCUGAGCAAUAGCUGCCUCUUGAGUUUAUCUUCAAUAACUAACCAAACCAAGAAGUAACAGGACCGGUUGUCUGACAGCCUGGGGGUGUAAAAAGUGUUUUAAAUGUUUGGAGUGUUCCUGAAAACUAUAGCCAGUGGUCAACUGAAAAUGUAAAUCCAAAAGUUAGACCAACAUCACUGUACUAAAAAAAUGAUCUGACUAUCAUCACUUUUUUGUAACUUUUCCAAAAUUCACUGUUUAAGUCCAUAAUGUACAACUUGUAAUUUCUCUCCUUUUUCUUUGCUUGUUUCUUUCUAUAUUGAACUUUUGUGCAUAAGGUAUGUCACAAGUGAGCUUUAUGAAUUGUGGAUGUGGGGAGAUUGAAGUGCGAGAAUGAUAAAAGUGAAUGUCCUGAUUUGUUGAUGCUUGUAAGAUGAAGUUUCAUUGCAUAUGGC